AGUUCCCACUCACUUUAUGGUGCAGAUGGCAGCGCCAUUUUCCGAGCUAUAAACAGUAUCAUUGUCAUAGCUCUUUGAAUGGUACUACCAUAUGUGCUGAAAAAUCAGCGAGUGGAGC
rnacentral:pre_miRNA from 14 species